GACGAACGCUGGCGGCAUGCCUUACACAUGCAAGUCGAACGGCAGCGGGGACUUCGGUCCGCCGGCGAGUGGCGAACGGGUGAGUAAUGUAUCGGAACGUACCAUUCAGUGGGGGAUAACUAUCCGAAAGGAUAGCUAAUACCGCAUAUUCUGUGAGCAGGAAAGCAGGGGAUCGCAAGACCUUGCGCUGAUUGAGCGGCCGAUAUCAGAUUAGCUAGUUGGUGAGGUAAAGGCUCACCAAGGCGACGAUCUGUAGCGGGUCUGAGAGGAUGAUCCGCCACACUGGAACUGAGACACGGUCCAGACUCCUACGGGAGGCAGCAGUGGGGAAUUUUGGACAAUGGGGGCAACCCUGAUCCAGCCAUGCCGCGUGAGUGAAGAAGGCCUUCGGGUUGUAAAGCUCUUUCGGCCGGGAAAAAAUCGCAUGGGUUAAUACCCUGUGUGGAUGAUGGUACCGGAAUAAGAAGCACCGGCUAACUACGUGCCAGCAGCCGCCGUAACAC
rnacentral:rRNA from 1 species